rnacentral:rRNA from 1 species
GAUGAACGCUGGCGGCGUGCCUAAUACAUGCAAGUCGAGCGAACAGACGAGGAGCUUGCUCCUCUGACGUUAGCGGCGGACGGGUGAGUAACACGUGGAUAACCUACCUAUAAGACUGGGAUAACUUCGGGAAACCGGAGCUAUACCGGAUAAUAUAUUGAACCGCAUGGUUCAAUAGUGAAAGACGGUUUUGCUGUCACUUAUAGAUGGAUCCGCGCCGCAUUAGCUAGUUGGUAAGGUAACGGCUUACCAAGGCGACGAUGCGUAGCCGACCUGAGAGGGUGAUCGGCCACACUGGAACUGAGACACGGUCCAGACUCCUACGGGAGGCAGCAGUAGGGAAUCUUCCGCAAUGGGCGAAAGCCUGACGGAGCAACGCCGCGUGAGUGAUGAAGGUCUUCGGAUCGUAAAACUCUGUUAUUAGGGAAGAACAAAUGUGUAAGUAACUAUGCACGUCUUGACGGUACCUAAUCAGAAAGCCACGGCUAACUACGUG